rnacentral:rRNA from 1 species
GUCCACGCCCUAAACGAUGUCGACUGGUUGUUGGGGGUUUGACACUCUCAGUAACGAAGCUAACGCGUGAAGUCGACCGCCUGGGGAGUACGGCCGCAAGGUUAAAACUCAAAGGAAUUGACGGGGACCCGCACAAGCGGUGGAUUAUGUGGAUUAAUUCGAUGCAACGCGAAAAACCUUACCUACCCUUGACAUGUCCGAGAGCCUGGAGAGAUCCGGGUGUGCCCGAAAGGGAAUCGGAACACAGGUGCUGCAUGGCUGUCGU